ensembl:lncRNA
CUGUUUUGCUCUUGCAUCUGGGGUGGUCAGCCGGGGGCUCUGCUGGUCAUGGCUGGAGUCGCACACACGGCUGGGGCUUGGCUGGCUGCUGGCCGAUCUAGGCUGGCCUGGUCAGGAGGAGUCAGGCCUCUCAGUCUGGUCCACGAGCCCCUCAUCCGCCAGGCUAGUUUAUUCGUGUGCUUCUCACAGUGACAGUGGGGGCAGGAGGGAGUAAGCGCAGCCCCUUGAAGCAUUUCAAGCCUUCGUGGGGAUCACGGGUGCUGACGUCUCGCCGGCCAAAGCCUGCAGCGUGUGGUCCCGAGUCCGUGUGGGAGGGCGCUGCAGGGUCACGGGGUACCAUGUUCAGAAAACGCUGGGGAUCUUUGAUUCAGCGAUCCCGCCGCCAGCAACUUUGUAUCCUAAGGAAGUCACCGGGCAGUGGACAAAGACGUGUGCACAAGGAUCCUCCUCCGGCCAGAGGCUGCAACCCUCAAUGGACAUCAGUCAAAGGCCACGAGCCCGGGGCGGGAUGGACACUCAGGCCGACGGGAUGUGGACGGUCAAGGCCUACGCCACAGCCGCCCGCGUGCCCAGUGGAUGGGCCUGGGGGGAGGAAGAGGAAUCAGUGUGGUCCUCACCCUCGGGGGCUGACAGUGGAUGCGAACUGCCAGGAGCGGGAGGCUCUGAUCCCGUUUCCCGUUGUAUACACGGGAAACCGCCACCACCUUCCAGAUCGUGAACAUAUCGAUUCCACCCAGAAGCCUCCUCCUCAGGACCCUGUAUGAUCUGUCCCUCCCUCCAGCCUCCACUGCCGCCACCCUCCAACCCAGGCCACCGCCCCUCUGCUUCCUGUCACUGCAGAUUACGUUGCCUUUUCUAGAAUUCUCUAGGAAGGGAACAGUGCAGCCCGGAAUGUUUCGUGUCUGUCUUCUUUCGUGUAGCAUGGUACCCCUAGAUGUAUCUGAGUUUCCACAGGCAUCAACAGGGCCUUCCUUUUCAUUGCUACGUAGUAUUCCGUUGUCUGAAUGGACUGUCUGUGGAUCCAUUCACUGGCUGCUGGGUGGGGUUUAAAAGGCUUCCAGUUCUGUGCUGUUGCAGACAGAGCUGCCAAGGACGUCGGUGUCGCCUGUGUGUGAAUGCGUGCCUUCAGUUACCUUGGUGAGUAGCUAGGAGUUGAACAGCCAGACUAUCCGGUAGUGGGGUGUUUAAAUAUGUUUAAAACUGCAAAUCGUUUUCCUAUGAGGCUGUCCCCUUUAUGUUCCCAACAGCCGUGGGUGAGAGUUCCAGCAUCUCCUGUCCUCACAGACACCUGGUAGGAACCGUCUUUUCAAUUUUGACUUUCAAAUAGGUGUGCAGGGGUAUCUUAUCAUGAUAUGAAUUUGCAUUUUAUUUUCUUUUUUAUUGAGGAAGAUUAGCCCUGAGCUAACUACUGCCAAUCCUCCUCUUUUUGCUGAGGAAGAUUGGCCCUGAGCUAACAUCCACGCCAUCUUCCUCUACUUUUUAUGUGGGACGCCUACCACAGCAUGGCUUGUCAAUGGUGCCAUGGCCACACCUGGGAUCCAAACCGGCGAACCCCGGGCCGCCAAAGCGGACCAUGAGCACUUGACCUCUGCGCCGCCAGGCCAGCCCCUGAAUUUGCAUUUUCUUAAUGGCGAGCAUCUUUUCAUGUGUUUCUCAGCCAUCUGUAUAUCUUUUUUCCUCACAUAUCUAUUCAACCUUUUUUGCCCAUUUUUUUAACUAAACUUUUCAUUUUAAGAUAAUUGUAGCAUUAAUUUUGAGCAUGUGACCAUUUUCAUCAGGUUUCUAUUUUGUGUGUCUUAUUGAAUUUUGAGAGUUCUUUCUAUAUUCUGGAUAAAAGUACUUUAUCAGAUGUGUGUUGUGCAAACGUUUAAGCCCAGUCUGUGUGUACAGCAGUCCCCCCCAGCCGUGGUUUCACUAUCUGUGGCUUCAGUUACCCAAGGUCACCUGUGGUCUGAAAAUAUUAAAUAAAAAAUUCCAGAACUUCAGACUUGCUCUCAAGCUUUGUUCGGGGGACCAGAGAAGUAUUUUGUCUAAGACUAAUUAUUCCCCAUUACUGAGCACACAUGCUGAGAGCUCCGCCCGAGAGAACAGGGUCAUUGCUGGAUCUUGGUCUCUCAGUCCCUUUCAGGAACUCUCCUCACUUGCCCCAAGUCGUGUCCUCACAAGUGUGUGCUGAGAAGUAUUCUGGCAAAUACUCGAGGAUAACCCUCUGCAAAUCUCGGGAGCUCUCUCUAAGUGCAGCUCUCACCUCCCUGGUGCUCUGCCCUGAACAUUGCAGCUUUCCUGGCCUCCCUGCACAGCCGUCCAUCUCUUCAACCCAAGAACCCCUGAUCUGUCUGGGGUCCCCCCCUGUGCCAUGGCCUGGACUCCCCGAGCAGUGAGCCAGGGUACCUGUAGGGCUCGCCCCGUUGCUUGGCCAUCUCUCUGAGAUCACGGUUCUUUGUCACCUGAUGGUCAACGUCUUGAAAACCAUUGUUUCAUCUUGGUUUUCUUCUCAGAUGGGAACGUAAAUCCAGGCCCUGUUAUUCCAUCUUGGCUUGAAGCAGAAGUCCUUGUCUGAUCAAGUUCUGGUAAAAGAAGGGUUGUCAGAGGGACUCUGAAACUGGUGUUAUGGGGGCGUUUAUUAGGUACCAGCCCCCUAAUCUGCCCUUUGCAUGGAGCGUCUCUCUCUGACACAGAGAGAGCAAGUCGCCAAGGUUCCAGGACUUUGAGGGCGCUGUCCAAGGUCCCAGAGCCGGGAUUUGAACGCAGGUCUGUCUGAUUCGACUUGCCCUGCUACGGCACCACCUGACCUGUUCACUCAAGGGCCAGAAUGUAUGAAUGAACAAAUGAAACGAGUGAACAUAUGCAGGGCUGCUUGGCAUGUCUGUGGGUCCUCUCACUUCUCACAGAUAAAAAUUCCAGUGCUGGGAGGGAACACCUGCAGACCAUUGUGACCCAUCUGAGAGGCUCAGGGAAGGCAAGCCAUUUCCCUAAGGCCACACAGCCAUGGAGUCAGCCCUGAAAAAAAUCUCCUCUCCCUUCUUCUUUUUCAGUUGAGGCUCAUAAAGCAAGAAGAGCUUUCUGAUAAUAUCUAUGUGCGUAUGUAAUAUUUGGCUUUAAAGACGUAUUCAAAUAACCUCUUCCACCCGGGCUUGCAAACGGUCGGGCUUUAUUUGGACCAAUGAGGUGUGAGCCUGCGGGGGAGCUCCGUGGGAGGGGGGAGAGGUCAGAGCAGACAAGGAGAAAUAAAGCAGGACUUCGGCUGGGCCUGGUGGAGGCUUGUUCAGAAAACACGCUCCAUGCGCGCAACCCCGCAGCGGGUCACUCCAUCUGGGAGGCCCUGCUCCAGCCUCGCACCGGCUGCUCUGUGCUGUCGGCUGCUGGGAUCGUUUUUGAGAGGACCAGUUUGCAAGCAAAACCACUGAAAAUGACUUGCAUUAAGGACUCUUUCAGUUCAGCCCGAGAGAGACUCAGGGAUGAAUGUGAGUUUGGAAUGUGGUAAAGUCCAGCCUGGAUCCCAACAGUGUAUUAAUAAUUUCGUCACUUAAAUUAUUAACUUCUGUUAUAAGCUAUAAAAUCCACUUCAAAGUAGAUUAAUAAAUAUAUAUAUAAAAUUUUUCCAUCUUAGUGGGAAGUCUGGAGUGGAGUAAACUCAGGUACGCGGACUCCAGCUAUUUUUGUUCCCUCUUAAAAUAACAUUACCGUUGCCAUUACAAAAUGAAUCCAUCGUCGUUUUAGAAAAAUCUUUUAAAAAUAUAUUAAAAAGUGGGAAAAACAUAAAAAUCACCCAAAACUUGUCGACCAGAAGUAACCAGGCUUUUGUUGCCGAGCUUUUUUUGAAACACCCUUAAGAUUGAUAGGUAUGUAAAUAUUGUAAAUUCGUAUGUUUGCCUUUUUUUCCCUGAUUCUAAAAUCAAUAAACGCUCAUGGUCAAACAUUUGGGAAAGAGAGAAAAGUAUGGAGUGGAAAUAAUCAGUCGGAACCCAACCAACAAAGAGAUCAUUUUUGUUAAUUUUGUGGGACUUGUCUAGCUGUCCACUAUCUUUUUAUGUGUGUGACUUAUACUAUAUAUCGUAUAUCAUUGCACUGUGAAUGUAAAUGUAAUUGACAG